UUUUGAAAUAGAACAUCUCUGCACAAGUACCUUCCAUGAUGAAGCUUAGUUUUCGCUCCCAGAGUACCUGGAGUUGUGCUUGUCAUGGUGACCUUACAGUGGCUUAUCUCCCUUCUUGCUUAUGGUCACUGUCAAGGUGUUUUAAGCCUCUGGAAGUGGCGUGUGUAUAUAUGCUUAUGGGAGUCAUCUUGCUAGAAACCUCUGGUUCACUGGUUGGCAAGGCAAAGAGAAAGCAGUGGAUACAAAACGGGCAGACCGAAGCAACUCCACAUUGUUUUUUAGCCAUGCUUAUUAUGAUUAUUGUCUUCUUUCAAGUUUGAAGUCGUUUUCUUCACUAUUUUUUGUGGACUGUAACGCUUAUCGAUCUGCUGAAGGACAAGAACAAGAAAUGCAACCAGAGAAAAAGGUGUAUUCAAAACCGUCAAAAAAAAGGAAAUUUUCUAUUUGCAUUCUUUCGUUAAAGGGCUAAUUUACAUUCUCACCUUUCACGUCACA